CUAGCGAGACUGCCGGUAAUAAACCGGGAGGGAAGGUGGGGAUGACGUCAAAUCAUCAUGCCCCUUAUGACCUGGGCUACACACGUGCUACAACGGUUGGUACAACGAGUUGCGAGUCGGUGACGGCGAGCUAAUCUCUUAAAGCCAAUCUCAGUUCGGAUUGUAGGCUGCAACUCGCCUACAUGAAGUCGGAAUCGCUAGUAAUCGCGGAUCAGCACGCCGCGGUGAAUACGUUCCCGGGCCUU
rnacentral:rRNA from 1 species